rnacentral:rRNA from 1 species
AUACGUAGGGUGCAAGCGUUAAUCGGGAUUACUGGGCGUAAAGCGUGCGCAGGCGGUUUUGUAAGACAGAGGUGAAAUCCCCGGGCUCAACCUGGGAACUGCCUUUGUGACUGCAAGGCUAGAGUACGGCAGAGGGGGAUGGAAUUCCGCGUGUAGCAGUGAAAUGCGUAGAUAUGCGGAGGAACACCGAUGGCGAAGGCAAUCCCCUGGGCCUGCACUGACGCUCAUGCGCGAAAGCGUGGGGAGCAAACAGGAUUAGAUACCCUGGUAGUCCACGCCCUAAACGAUGUCAACUGGUUGUUGGGGAUUUAUUUUCUCAGUAACGAAGCUAACGCGUGAAGUUGACCGCCUGGGGAGUACGGCCGCAAGGUUAAAACUCAAAGGAAUUGACGGGG